CUUCUAGGUCAUUCAGAAAUUCUUGUCUGAUCCACUGUCUGCAACCCAGAAAACAGGCUUAAAUGUUGAUGGGGAGCGGAGGUUUUACUUAUACAAUGACUUAAAAGUUGUAUUUCCUCAACGCCAUUCAGAUUCUGAUGAGGGCAAGUUGAAGGUAGAAUACCAUUACCCGGAAGAUCCAAGAUAUUUCGAUGUCGGCAACUGAGAAGAAAGAAAGCUUUGUUUUGCUUUCUCUUUUGUUGUUGAAUCUGUACAUAGUCAAUCACAUGUUUUUAUGUUUCAGUCAUUUCAUCUUGAAAUGGCUCUAACCCAAAUCAGUCUGUAAAGACUUCCACUUGAUUCUGGAAAAAAUAAUUUGAUGGGUUAAAACAUUGUUUUGACAUGGGGGCUUUUGGCGUUUCCUUCAAUGGAAGCUGAUAGUGUACAUUUUCUUUAUCAAAUGGUGAGGAAAGAAACACCAUUCCAAGUAAAAUCCCUAGUGAAA